GUAGGUGAACCUGCGGAAGGAUCAUUAACACGUUGGACUGAAUCAAAACUGUUCGGCAAUGAUUUACCAGGGAUUGCAACCAUGGGUAUCGUUAGCGGAGACGUAUGUUGUAGGUUCACGGGGGGGUUUUUACAGACGGGUUCCACGACCCCAAGGAGUCAAAAGCUGUCAGCGAGUGGCAAGUGAGGGAGUCAGUCAGGGGGUUGUUAAAGUGUUCAACCUGAUUGUCAUCUUGUAAGUUGAGAGUGUCUUUUGAUUUUGAACGGGUAGACCACCCCAGGUGGGUCACUGUGGCCGACACGGCCGUGAUGGGAUUCUGGCGUCGUGCCUAUAGGUCCGAACUCGCGCCCGACAUGACCUCUUGAAACGACAGGGGCGUAACCGGACCAAAUUUUUAAUCUGCCCCUUACCCUAACAGGUACUCGGGUGUAACUGUUAACAAUGGAUAUCUUGGUUCUC
rnacentral:misc_RNA from 1 species